CAUAUACUCCCUCCGUCCCGAAUUACUUGUCGCAGGUAUGGAUGUAUUUAGAUGUAUUUUAGUUCUAGAUACAUCCAUUUAUGCGACGAGUAAUUUGGGACGGAGGGAGUAUUUC
rnacentral:pre_miRNA from 1 species